UUAAGCGACUAAGUGUACACGGUGGAUGCCCUGGCAGUCAGAGGCGAUGAAGGACGUGCUAAUCUGCGAUAAGCGUCGGUGAGGUGAUAUGAACCGUUAUAACCGGCGAUUUCCGAAUGGGGAAACCCAGUGUGUUUCGACACACUAUCAUUAACUGAAUCCAUAGGUUAAUGAGGCGAACCGGGGGAACUGAAACAUCUAAGUACCCCGAGGAAAAGAAAUCAACCGAGAUUCCCCCAGUAGCGGCGAGCGAACGGGGAGGAGCCCAGAGCCUGAAUCAGUGUGUGUGUUAGUGGAAGCGUCUGGAAAGGCGCGCGAUACAGGGUGACAGCCCCGUACACAAAAAUGCACAUAUUGUGAGCUCGAUGAGUAGGGCGGGACACGUGGUAUCCUGUCUGAAUAUGGGGGGACCAUCCUCCAAGGCUAAAUACUCCUGACUGACCGAUAGUGAACCAGUACCGUGAGGGAAAGGCGAAAAGAACCCCGGCGAGGGGAGUGAAAAAGAACCUGAAACCGUGUACGUACAAGCAGUGGGAGCCUCUUAAUGGGGUGACUGCGUACCUUUUGUAUAAUGGGUCAGCGACUUAUAUUCUGUAGCAAGGUUAACCGAAUAGGGGAGCCGAAGGGAAACCGAGUCUUAACUGGGCGUUAAGUUGCAGGGUAUAGACCCGAAACCCGGUGAUCUAGCCAUGGGCAGGUUGAAGGUUGGGUAACACUAACUGGAGGACCGAACCGACUAAUGUUGAAAAAUUAGCGGAUGACUUGUGGCUGGGGGUGAAAGGCCAAUCAAACCGGGAGAUAGCUGGUUCUCCCCGAAAGCUAUUUAGGUAGCGCCUCGUGAAUUCAUCUCCGGGGGUAGAGCACUGUUUCGGCAAGGGGGUCAUCCCGACUUACCAACCCGAUGCAAACUGCGAAUACCGGAGAAUGUUAUCACGGGAGACACACGGCGGGUGCUAACGUCCGUCGUGAAGAGGGAAACAACCCAGACCGCCAGCUAAGGUCCCAAAGUCAUGGUUAAGUGGGAAACGAUGUGGGAAGGCCCAGACAGCCAGGAUGUUGGCUUAGAAGCAGCCAUCAUUUAAAGAAAGCGUAAUAGCUCACUGGUCGAGUCGGCCUGCGCGGAAGAUGUAACGGGGCUAAACCAUGCACCGAAGCUGCGGCAGCGACACUAUGUGUUGUUGGGUAGGGGAGCGUUCUGUAAGCCUGUGAAGGUGGCCUGUGAGGGUUGCUGGAGGUAUCAGAAGUGCGAAUGCUGACAUAAGUAACGAUAAAGCGGGUGAAAAGCCCGCUCGCCGGAAGACCAAGGGUUCCUGUCCAACGUUAAUCGGGGCAGGGUGAGUCGACCCCUAAGGCGAGGCCGAAAGGCGUAGUCGAUGGGAAACAGGUUAAUAUUCCUGUACUUGGUGUUACUGCGAAGGGGGGACGGAGAAGGCUAUGUUGGCCGGGCGACGGUUGUCCCGGUUUAAGCGUGUAGGCUGGUUUUCCAGGCAAAUCCGGAAAACCAAGGCUGAGGCGUGAUGACGAGGCACUACGGUGCUGAAGCGACAAAUGCCCUGCUUCCAGGAAAAGCCUCUAAGCAUCAGGUAACAUCAAAUCGUACCCCAAACCGACACAGGUGGUCAGGUAGAGAAUACCAAGGCGCUUGAGAGAACUCGGGUGAAGGAACUAGGCAAAAUGGUGCCGUAACUUCGGGAGAAGGCACGCUGAUAUGUAGGUGAAGCGACUUGCUCGUGGAGCUGAAAUCAGUCGAAGAUACCAGCUGGCUGCAACUGUUUAUUAAAAACACAGCACUGUGCAAACACGAAAGUGGACGUAUACGGUGUGACGCCUGCCCGGUGCCGGAAGGUUAAUUGAUGGGGUUAGCGGUAACGCGAAGCUCUUGAUCGAAGCCCCGGUAAACGGCGGCCGUAACUAUAACGGUCCUAAGGUAGCGAAAUUCCUUGUCGGGUAAGUUCCGACCUGCACGAAUGGCGUAAUGAUGGCCAGGCUGUCUCCACCCGAGACUCAGUGAAAUUGAACUCGCUGUGAAGAUGCAGUGUACCCGCGGCAAGACGGAAAGACCCCGUGAACCUUUACUAUAGCUUGACACUGAACAUUGAGCCUUGAUGUGUAGGAUAGGUGGGAGGCUUUGAAGUGUGGACGCCAGUCUGCAUGGAGCCGACCUUGAAAUACCACCCUUUAAUGUUUGAUGUUCUAACGUGGGCCCCUAAUCGGGGUUGCGGACAGUGUCUGGUGGGUAGUUUGACUGGGGCGGUCUCCUCCUAAAGAGUAACGGAGGAGCACGAAGGUUGGCUAAUCCUGGUCGGACAUCAGGAGGUUAGUGCAAUGGCAUAAGCCAGCUUGACUGCGAGCGUGACGGCGCGAGCAGGUGCGAAAGCAGGUCAUAGUGAUCCGGUGGUUCUGAAUGGAAGGGCCAUCGCUCAACGGAUAAAAGGUACUCCGGGGAUAACAGGCUGAUACCGCCCAAGAGUUCAUAUCGACGGCGGUGUUUGGCACCUCGAUGUCGGCUCAUCACAUCCUGGGGCUGAAGUAGGUCCCAAGGGUAUGGCUGUUCGCCAUUUAAAGUGGUACGCGAGCUGGGUUUAGAACGUCGUGAGACAGUUCGGUCCCUAUCUGCCGUGGGCGCUGGAGAACUGAGGGGGGCUGCUCCUAGUACGAGAGGACCGGAGUGGACGCAUCACUGGUGUUCGGGUUGUCAUGCCAAUGGCACUGCCCGGUAGCUAAAUGCGGAAGAGAUAAGUGCUGAAAGCAUCUAAGCACGAAACUUGCCCCGAGAUGAGUUCUCCCUGAGACUUAGAGUCUCCUGAAGGAACGUUGAAGACGACGACGUUGAUAGGCCGGGUGUGUAAGCGCAGCGAUGCGUUGAGCUAACCGGUACUAAUGAACCGUGAGGCUUAACCUU
rnacentral:rRNA from 2 species